GAAAGACAGUAAUCAAUAAAAUGAGAAACAUAAGUCCUUCCAUCAUCUCAGUAUAAAAAAAAUAAUAACCUCCCCUAAACUUAGUUGUCUCUCAUGCAUCUCUGGGUCAUGUAUCUGUCUCUUGGGGAAAAUGGUGAUUACACUCUUGUCUUGCUGUUCAUGGGACUAUGUCAAACAGAAUCACCAUCUGGCUGUCAAGUCAUCUGAAAGACAACAUUUAGAGGAUCAGCAAAACAACCACUUUAGUCAUUGUCCUACAAUAGCCCGACAAGAAAAAUGAGUAAACACAUUUUACUACCUAAAAUGCCAGAUCCACAAUGGAGAAAGAAAGGACUGCUCUGCCUAUAGAAAUCCCUGCUAAAAGAGGAAACAGACCAUCCUUCUACAAGUAUGUUACAAGAUUCCAGAUGCAGUUUCCUUUCAAAUAAGCUCAUCUUUCAAGUCUGCUCUACCUCUAAACCACCUGCCUGGCCCCUCAAGAAUGACUUCACUACCCUGGAGGACUCAGUGAUUGAAGAGUUCUUGAAUAGAACCAUUCCACGAGAAAGCCCAGCCAUACUGUUCGCCUUCCAUCUCUAGAUCACUCCCUCACUUCCGCAUGCCCCAACUGAACUUCUAACCUAUCUACAUUUGGCUGCCCAGGAUAUCAGGUCCAGAAUUCUCUAUCCACUGCACCACCUGGCUGAGUUAAAUGCUGAUUAAAUUGAACUGAUCUUCAUUUUUAUCAUUUCCUGCAUACCAUCUUUAUAUGCUACAGUAAAUGCAAUGGGACACAGCCACUGAAUCA